GAUGAACGCUGGCGGCGUGCCUAAUACAUGCAAGUCGAGCGAACAGACGAGGAGCUUGCUCCUCUGACGUUAGCGGCGGACGGGUGAGUAACACGUGGAUAACCUACCUAUAAUACUGGGAUAACUUCGGGAAACCGGAGCUAAUACCGGAUAAUAUAUUGAACCGCAUGGUUCAAUAGUGAAAGACGGUUUUGCUGUCACUUAUAGAUGGAUCCGCGCCGCAUUAGCUAGUUGGUAAGGUAACGGCUUACCAAGGCGACGAUGCGUAGCCGACCUGAGAGGUUGAUCGGCCACACUGGAACUGAGACACGGUCCAGACUCCUACGGGAGGCAGCAGUAGGGAAUCUUCCGCAAUGGGCGAAAGCCUGACGGAGCAACGCCGCGUGAGUGAUGAAGGUCUUCGGAUCGUAAAACUCUGUUAUUAGGGAAGAACAAAUGUGUAAGUAACUAUGCACGUCUUGACGGUACCUAAUCAGAAAGCCACGGCUAACUACGUG
rnacentral:rRNA from 1 species